rnacentral:SRP_RNA from 1 species
UGAUUGGGUCCUACGCAACAAAUGCUUUUGAACCGUGUCAGGUCCUGACGGAAGCAGCACUAAGGAAGAUGUUUUGUGUGCCGUAUGGGUCGCCUAGUCUGAGU